UCUUGGUAAUUAAUUUCCUACAAAUGCAUAUGUUUUUUAGAACAUCUUUCUCUGUUGCCAUAGGUGCAUGUCUGCAUGUUUUAUCAAGACAGUUUACCAUGGGAAAGUCCCAGUAAAAACAUGAAAACAGAUCCUCUUGAACAUUUCAAGUGGAAUUUUAAGAUGGAUAUCUUUUAAAAUUCUUCCCCAGACUUAUGAAGCUGUGAAGAAAGGAAAGUCGCCCUGAACCUCUGGGCAUGUGGAGCUGAAAAGUCACAGAAAGCCUUCAGUUAUUCCCCCGCCAUUGCAAGCUUGGCCACACUCAAGAAAGACAUUUUUAGGCUGCAAUCCAUGCACUCAGUGCCAGAAAUAAAACAACACAAGCCAGAAAUAAAACAAUAACAACUAAAAAAGAAUGCAAAAGGAAAGACAGAAAAAAGGACUUUAUAGGCAAUUUGAAUAAAACACCUUUUUCUGAGUCUUCUAUGUUAGAGAAGGGAUAAUAAACAGCUUCAGUAUUUUAGCAGGAAGAAGACUUCUUAUUUUCAUAAAUGCUACAAGCCAAAUGACUUCAUUUUUUACUAGAGUAAUGUAAUUAGGCAUAAUACUUAUGCCAUUUGUAGAAGUAUUUUAACAGUUUUAUUUUGCCUAAUGAACCCAGUAGGAGGUAUAAAACAUGUCGUUGGAACUGUUCACAUUUUAUGACCCUAUUUUUCUUGUUUUGAUAGUUCACUUGAGGUUUUGCCUGUUGUUUGUCUGUUUUUCAAAAUAUACAGAAAGUAGGUCUCUGAGGAGUGCGUUGUGUCCUCAGGCUGGUCAAGACACAGAAAUGUCGAUGAAAUCACACCACGGGAAUAAAAGGCUGGAUUUUUGCAGGUGGCCCAUGAUAAGUGUAAGUGUGAGUGUGAGUGGUGUUCCAUGAGGACAUCGUUAGAACUCGCACUAGGACACCAUUAGAACUAGUUAAGAUGAUGUUUGAUACAGUUAACUAUGUGUAUUGGAUAAAAAGAAAAAUCACAAUAGUAGUUUAAAAAUGAUAAAGCAGAGAAGUUUAAAAAUUAUAAAACAUCAUUCAGAUGUUUCAUCCCAGAAGCUUUCUCAAUACUCUUGCACUCUCGCUCAAAUUCUACCUAGUUUAUACCUUUAUAUGGAAGCUUUAGUUUCUUUUCCUGAGAGAUGAAGAAAGUUUCAUUAAAGGUGCCGGCCAGAGGUAGUGCAGGAGUGCAUCAUGCUGCUGGGAACGUGUUAGUUCUGAAGUUGGACACCUAAACACCUACAAUGAAACUAAAGCAAAUCAUUUUAUUACCGUGGAGGACUGGACAAGAUUUUAAGUAGGAGUGAUUAAUCAAAUUUGAAUGAAAUGUUCAAGAUAGCUUUCUUGAAACUUUGCAGUCUAUUAGAAUUAUUUGUUAAGAAAAGCUGCGACAUAGAUUUUGGAAAAUGCCAGUCUUUCUACCCCAGUGCAAGCACCUCCAUGAUUCUUAGACUGAAAGCUGAAGAUUUCUCCAGAAACAUGGUUCAUGACUUGGAUGUUGGAACGUAGAUGGUCCCAGUGGGUGAGGCUUAUAUGAGUGGCCUUCAUGUAAUCUGGGAAAGAAGAGAAACCAUGCAGAGCUAAUGUCCCAAAGCUGGCAGCAGCAUGUGAUAAGAAGGAGCUGAAUGAGAAUACUGUCACACAGAGCAAGUGACAGGACUGUAGACCCAGGCCAGAAGGCAGAGACAAUUCUCCACUCUCAUCGGAGCACCAUGCCUCUCGUGGCUCUGGUUGGUGUUAGAAUCAGUAUGUAUUUGUCACAUGAAUAUAUAAUAACUUGUUUUUAUUUUAUGGGCAAAUAAAAUUUCAUAGCAAAAUAAUAAAAGGAUAACACUAUUUAACCCACUAUAUAUCAUUAUCUUCAGAGAUAAAAAAAGAUUUUGUCUUGCAAAGCAGAAACAAUCUGAUAAUGGCACAAAAGUUUCUUUUCAAUGAAUGGAGAUUAGUAGUAUAAAUGAGAUGAGUUAUCAUAUGUAUAAAGAUGAAUCUAGAUCACAGAAUGUACUAAUUCUCAUCGUGUGAAGGCCACUAAGGAGAGUGUGAUUGCUAUUACGAUGCAGAGGGAAUUAUUGAUUCUCAGGUUGAAAACACAGUUUGGAAAAUGAAAAAUGGUGUUUGCAUGUGAAAGAUUCAAAUAAUGUCAACAGCUGAUUUCUAAAAGAUAAGUAUAGUGUCUUCAGAACCUGGUUUUAGAUCCUAACUUGACAAGUUUCUAGAACUAUGGUCUUAGACAUAAUAUUCAAGUUCUCCAAAUCUCAAGUUCUUCUUAAAAUUAGUAAUGGUACUGGCUCUGAAUCAAGGCCGACAGCUUCCUGACACUGUUGGUUUCAAGCAGGAGCCUAAAGAGAUGUCUUUCUAUGGUCUGGUGGCCAUUUCUGAACUUGGGCAAUGAAAUGGUCAAUUCAUUAGAAAGAAACAGCUUGAAGCCACCCCCCACCCCAACCCCGUGAGUGGCUGUGAGUGUGGCAGGCUGCGGCAGCCUGGGAUGGGAGCUACUGGCGUUUACUGGGACCGGCACCAUGCUACAACCGUCCCCCAUGGUGAGUGACUGUGAGCCUGCGGUGCAUGGGGCUGAGAAUCCAACAUCACAUCCCCUCCCCGCCCUGUUAGCAAGUGGAAGCUGGUGAUCUGGACAUCCCUUGAGAGGCUGACCAUAGGCAGUGUAGCAAAUGGGGCUGGUUUCCUUCUACCAUCUCUUUGAAGGCAAAUACUUUUAUUCCUGUUUUGCUUUGUUCUAAUUAAUGGUGUUAUUUUAGCCUGUUUUGUUUUGUUCAACUUCAAUAUACAUGAAAGUAUGGAUGGCUAUUUUGAAGAGAACAAGAGACCUAAGCUCAUUGAUGUGGCUACUGAAUUGAUAAUUUUCUUUCUGUGGUACAAAUCAAGUAAGGAAACAGCUGGUAGGAAACCGCAGCUGCACUCCAGUCCAGAAGAACCAGAGAAGGAAAAUAAAUUAGUUUUGUUCUAAUAACGAACACCUUUAAGAGAAUCAAAGGAUUUGAUUUCUCUUUAUAUCAUUGUGUAUAUGAAAGCUAUAGAAUGCUAAAUCUAAUUUUAUUUUCUUUUGUAGAGGGAGAUUAAAUGCGUAAUUGUCAUUGUACAAAAGAAAAGAAAAGAAAGUGCUCUAAAGGAUAUAACUGCAUAUGUGUUUAAGUGUAUAAGAUAGAUAACCAUAUUACUGAGUUUUGUUGGAUCAUUGAACAAAACUGUUUGCAGUCUCACUGUUUGAAAGUCCCCUCUAUAUGCUUUAAUUUUGUAAUUUGAACAACUAUUUCUAAGAUGAGAAUAUGUAAUCUUUUAACUAGUGAUUUCUUACUGUUUAUUUUUUAAAUUUUGUAUUACUUGUACCCUUAUUCUGUUUUUUUCUUUUUCUCCUUAAAUAAAAAAAAAAAAAGAAAGAAAGCACCUAUUAAAAAAAAAGAAAAGAAAAUGCAAAGAUAAAAUUUACCAGGAAAUAAACUUGAGGACAAUGAUUGUCUCUUUUGCUAAGUGAUAUUACAAAUAUUUUAGUUACCAGUAAUCUCCAAUAUUUAUUAUGUAUUUUAACUUUCAUUUCAUUAACACAAA